rnacentral:rRNA from 1 species
UGCUGAAAGGCUACAGCAUAGCUCGUCCGUAGGUGAACCUGCGGAAGGAUCAUUAAAGAAUGCCCCAUUUUUUGAAAUGGGUUCUAUUCCCAAACCGUGUAUACAUACCUUUGUUGCUUUGGCAGGCCGCCUUCGGGCGUCGGCUCACGCUGACCGCGCCUGCCAGAGGACCCAAACUCGAUUGUUUAGUGAUGUCUGAGUACUAUAUAAUAAUUAAAACUUUCAACAACGGAUCUCUUGGUUCUGGCAUCGAUGAAGAACGCAGCGAAAUGCGAUAAGUAAUGUGAAUUGCAGAAUUCAGUGAAUCAUCGAAUCUUUGAACGCACAUUGCGCCCCUUGGUAUUCCGAGGGGCAUGCCUGUUCGAGCGUCAUUAUGACCACUCAAGCCUAGCUUGGUAUUGGGGUUCGCGGUCUCGCGGUCCUUAAAAUCAGUGGCGGUGCCAUCUGGCUCCAAGCGUAGUAAUUCAUCUCGCUAUUGGGUCCGGUGGUUGCUUGCCAACAACCCCCAACUUCUAAGGUUGACCUCGGAUCAGGUAGGGAUACCCGCUGAACUUAA